rnacentral:rRNA from 1 species
GACGAACGCUGGCGGCAUGCUUAACACAUGCAAGUCGAACGGAAAGGCCCUGCUUUUGUGGGGUGCUCGAGUGGCGAACGGGUGAGUAACACGUGAGUAACCUGCCCUUGACUUUGGGAUAACUUCAGGAAACUGGGGCCAAUACCGGAUAGGAGCUCCUGCUGCAUGGUGGGGGUUGGAAAGUUUCGGCGGUUGGGGAUGGACUCGCGGCUUAUCAGCUUGUUGGUGGGGUAGUGGCUUACCAAGGCUUUGACGGGUAGCCGGCCUGAGAGGGUGACCGGCCACAUUGGGACUGAGAUACGGCCCAGACUCCUACGGGAGGCAGCAGUGGGGAAUAUUGCACAAUGGGCGGAAGCCUGAUGCAGCAACGCCGCGUGCGGGAUGACGGCCUUCGGGUUGUAAACCGCUUUCGCCUGUGACGAAGCGUGAGUGACGGUAAUGGGUAAAGAAGCACCGGCUAACUACGUG